AGUUGAUACCAAACUGAAAGACAAGAACAAUGUAACACCUGUAAACCCACUAAGUAUGGAGGAGAUAGCCAAUAUCAAAGACUCAGAGAUUGUGUCAGAUGCUGAGGGCAUCAAAGAAAAAGUCAGUAUCAAUGACACAACAACUGUGAAAGCAGACGUGAAGGAGAGA